UGAGGAAUAUUGGGCAAUGCCCGAAAGGGUGACCCAGCAACGCCGCGUGGAGGAUGAAGGUCGUAAGAUUGUAAACUCCUGUUAGAGGGGAAGAAUAACUAAGUUUGGAGCUUAGUAUGACUGUACCCUCAGAGAAAGCCCCGGCUAACUACGUGCCUGCAGCCGCGGUAAUACGUAGGGGGCAAGCGUUGUCCGGAUUUACUGGGUGUAAAGGGCGCGCAGGCGGAAUGGAAAGUCAGUGGUGAAAUCCUACAGCUUAACUGUAGAACUGCCUUUGAUACUUUCAUUCUUGAGUUCGGGAGAGAGAGACGGAAUUCCAGGUGUAGUGGUGAAAUACGUAGAUAUCUGGAAGAACACCAGUUGCGAAGGCGGUCUCUUGGUCCGAUACUGACGCUGAGGCGCGAAAGCGUGGGGAGCAAACA
rnacentral:rRNA from 1 species